UACAUGUGGGGCAAGCGUUGUUCGGAAUUACUGGGCAUAAAGGGUGCGUAGGUGGCUUGCUAAGUCAGUGGUGAAAUCGUCCGGCCCAACCGGACACGUGCCAAUGAUACUGGUGAGCUUGAGUGCGUGAGGGGUAGGGGGAACGAGCAGUGUAGCGGUGAAAUGCGUAGAUAUUGCUCGGAAGGCCAAAGCCGAAGGGACCCUACUGGUGCGCAACUGACACUGAGGCACGAAAGCGUGGGGAGCAAACAGG
rnacentral:rRNA from 1 species